GACGAACGCUGGCGGCGUGCCUAAUACAUGCAAGUAGAACGCACAGUUUAUACCGUAGCUUGCUACACCAUAGACUGUGAGUUGCGAACGGGUGAGUAACGCGUAGGUAACCUGCCUGGUAGCGGGGGAUAACUAUUGGAAACGAUAGCUAAUACCGCAUAAUAUUAAUUAUUGCAUGAUAAUUAAUUGAAAGGUGCAAUUGCACCACUACCAGAUGGACCUGCGUUGUAUUAGCUAGUAGGUGAGGUAACGGCUCACCUAGGCGACGAUACAUAGCCGACCUGAGAGGGUGAUCGGCCACACUGGGACUGAGACACGGCCCAGACUCCUACGGGAGGCAGCAGUAGGGAAUCUUCGGCAAUGGACGAAAGUCUGACCGAGCAACGCCGCGUGAGUGAAGAAGGGUUUCGGAUCGUAAAGCUCUGUUGUAAGAGAAGAACGGGUGUGAGAGUGGAAAGUUCACACUGUGACGGUAUCCUACCAGAAAGGGACGGCUAACUACGUG
rnacentral:rRNA from 1 species